rnacentral:misc_RNA from 1 species
UCCGAGGCUUGACAGAGGAAAUAGAGAAGAGAAAUGCAGAAAUAGUGCAUACAGUUCGUCCACGAACGAGUCAACGAAGAAAAGAGAAAACUUCACUCGGAUAAAGGGAAGCAAUAAAUCAAAUAACCAUGAAUCGUCUCUGUUGCCAAAUAGUUGCCUUUCAUUUGUAUAUGAAAUCCAUUGUAUAUAAUUAUUAAAAGUUAUUAUCGUGUAAUGCACUUUUAAAGAUCCAUUUUAUUUAUUUUUCAAAUGCAAAAUAAUUAAAUGUGAAUCAGUUAACAUUACAUAUACUUAUUGCAUAAGAAUAAUAUCGUACUGUUUGGCCACAUGAUUUCAAGUAUGGUAUUUUUCAGAGCAUUUUGAAUUUUUAAAAUUUUUUUAUAAUCAUGUAUUUAUAUAUGUACUGUAACUUAGGAGAGUUUGUGACUGUAGUGUGUGUUUGAGUGACUGAAAUCGAUCAUUUAUAAGCUAUUCCACAUAGAAUCAUGUCUCCUUGCUUUUAUUUGAAUUCCUCCAAGUAUUUUCCUAUCCGUCCGUCACUAUUUUUCUCCCUGUAAACUAUGAUGUUUUCUGUGAUGUGUAAAUAAACUCCCGUCCAAAUAGCGUUUAUUGUGAGACUAUUGCGUCACCCAUCCUGCUUGUUUAUUUACAAUAAACCAAUAGUAUUAUGUACAGAUUCAAAAUAAAGUUAUGUUUUGUUUAAUUUUGAGUAAUAAAAUUAUUCGGUAUACU